rnacentral:rRNA from 1 species
CCUACGGGAGGCUGCAGUGAGGAAUAUUGGUCAAUGGCCGCAGGGCUGAACCAGCCAAGUCGCGUGAGGGAUGACGGUCCUAUGGAUUGUAAACCUCUUUUGUCAGGGAGCAAAGGGCGCCACGUGUGGCGCUUUGCGAGUACCUGAAGAAAAAGCAUCGGCUAACUCCGUGCCAGCAGCCGCGGUAAUACGGAGGAUGCGAGCGUUAUCCGGAUUUAUUGGGGUUAAAGGGUGCGCAGGCGGAAUGUCAAGUCAGCGGUAAAAUUUCGGGGCUCAACCCCGUCGUGCCGUUGAAACUGGCGUUCUUGAGUGAGCGAGAAGUAUGCGGAAUGCGUGGUGUAGCGGUGAAAUGCAUAGAUAUCACGCAGAACUCCGAUUGCGAAGGCAGCAUACCGGCGCUCAACUGACGCUCAUGCACGAAAGCGUGGGUAUCGAACAGGAUUAGAUACCCGAGUAGUC